rnacentral:pre_miRNA from 1 species
CAAAUACUCCCUCCGUCCGGAAAUACUUGUCAUCAAAAUGGAUAAAAGGAAAUGUAUCUAGAUGUAUUUUAGUUUUAGAUACAUAUCUUUUUAUCCAUUUUGAUGACAAGUAUUUUCGGACGGAUGGAGUAGAAA